rnacentral:rRNA from 1 species
CGCGGCCUAUCAGCUUGUUGGUGGGGUAAUGGCCUACCAAGGCGACGACGGGUAGCCGGCCUGAGAGGGCGACCGGCCACACUGGGACUGAGACACGGCCCAGACUCCUACGGGAGGCAGCAGUGGGGAAUAUUGCACAAUGGGCGAAAGCCUGAUGCAGCGACGCCGCGUGAGGGAUGACGGCCUUCGGGUUGUAAACCUCUUUCAGCAGGGAAGAAGCUUUUGUGACGGUACCUGCAGAAGAAGCACCGGCUAACUACGUGCCAGCAGCCGCGGUAAUACGUAGGGUGCGAGCGUUGUCCGGAAUUAUUGGGCGUAAAGAGCUUGUAGGCGGUUUGUCGCGUCUGCUGUGAAAAUUCAGGGCUUAACCCUGGACGUGCAGUGGGUACGGGCAGACUAGAGUAUGGUAGGGGAGACUGGAAUUCCUGGUGUAGCGGUGGAAUGCGCAGAUAUCAGGAGGAACACCGAUGGCGAAGGCAGGUCUCUGGGCCAUUACUGACGCUGAGAAGCGAAAGCAUGGGGAGCGAACAGGAUUAGAUACCAUGGUAGUCCAUGUCGUAAACGUUGGGCGCUAGGCGUGGGUCUCAUUCCACGAGAUCCGUGUCGCAGCUAACGCAUUAAGCGCCCCGCCUGGGGAGUACGG